ensembl:lncRNA
ACUGCUGUAGCUCGGGUCCCUGCUGUGGCACGAGUUCGUUCCCUUGACCCCAAAUUUCCGCAUGCUGCAGGCAUGGCCGAAAAAAAAAAUGAAGCCUGGGUCAUAGCUACUUGUGAGAGGGAUUGCUACCUUAUGGUCACCAGAAGCUUCAGUCAACUAUGGAAUGCCUUAUGCAAAUGAGAAAGCUGAAGAAAGGGGCCAUCGCUUUUGUGUCUGUUCCCUUUUAGCAGGUACACAAAGAUGCUGAGUUUCUACCAGCAGACUUCCCUGAAUAUUUCAUGGCCAGGACUGGAUCAUGUGGCUAUACUUAGCUGCAAGGGAGGCUCAGAAACCAAGGAAUGUUUGAACCAAUUUGUGAUUGACUUUCAUGACUUGGUGCAAACAUAAUAUAUCACCUGAGUCUUGGCACAUUACUAUCCUAAGGAAUAAAGUAUCAGGUGUUGGGGGGGAGAGUAAAUCUUAGGUAGCAAUCAAUAGUGUCUGUCACAUAAAACAUAUUUUCAUCCUUCAUUACUCUAACUUAGCAAUGCUCUUGUAGAUAACAAAGCAGUCCAUGUAUUCACUAAAAGAAACUUACUUUGUACUCUAAAAUUCUUUAUUCUGGAGUUCCCAUCAUGGCUCAGUGAUAAUGAACCUGACUAGUAUCCAUGAGGUUGCAGGUUUGAUCUCUGACCUCGCUUAGUGGGUUAAGGAUCUGGUGUUGCCAUGAACUGUAGUGUAGGUCACAAAUGCACCUCGGAUUUGGCAUUGCUGUGGCUGUGGUAUAGGCUGGCAGCUGUAGCUCUGAUUUGACACCUAGCCUGGGAACUUCCAUAUGCCACAGGUGCAGCCCUAAAAAGGCAAAGAACAAAACAAAACAAGACAAAGAACUUUAUUCUACAAAUGCCAAACUACCUCUGCAAAAUAUCUGUAUUUAUUAACUCUACCUCUUUUUCUUUUGUGGAGGAAAACUCAAUUAAUUUGGUGAAGAUUUGAUUACAGAUCCAGAAUAGGAAAAAAAUGUAACCGACCCCUCAAAAUGUGUAAUUAUAAAUGAUCAUAACUUUUAUGAAAGCGAGAUAUUCCUAAAUUUAAUGUUUAUAGUAGUUGCACAGGAAAUGCUGGUGCUCUUGCUUGAUUGUAGAGUCUUUGACAGUAAGCAGAUACCAAACUUUGUGUUAUGUCUAUUACAUCAUUUAAUCAUCAGGAUAUUGAAGUAAACAUUUGAAAAUAAAUUUAACAAAUGUAUAGUAAACAUCCACUUUGUUUCAGGAGCUUUGAUAGCACAAUGGAGACAGAAGAUACAAAUUAAAAUCUUCCUUCAGCCUCACAAUGAAUGACAUAAUUUUCUCAGCAACACAAGAUAGUAAAUAUUCAAUAAUCUAGAGGUCUUUGUUACCGAGACCACCUUCUUGGAAGUGUUGAAGUAUGAGGUUAUAAGUAUAGGGCUAGGUCGUCAAACCCCUAGCCCUGUACUUAUUUAUUAAACAAAAUAAAUAAAUUAAAAAAAAUCAUACCAAAACCACUGUUUUUUCAAUUUGGGGUAUAGAGUUAGAACAGAUAUUUGGUGAUAGUAUUUUCCCACUUUCCAGCCAAUUGUCUGGAUGCCAUUUUUGUCACAUAGGCAAAAUAAAUAAUACUAUUACAUUUACAAGAUAUUUUCAUAUAUAAGUUACAUACAGUGUUCAUUCUAGAGACAUAUCAAUCAGAAAGUGAUUGACGGCAUUUAUUUUGAAAUGAUUUAGACAUUUAAUUUUGAAAUAUGAUGACCCGGGCUGCUUGCUAAAGCACACGUCUGAAAGGGGUUCUGAUCUCCACUUUAGAGAUGUGGAAACAGAGUCUCAGGGGUCAGCAACUUGCCCAAGUUCUCACAAGUUACACAGCCAUGAUAGUAGUUCUGGCAAUCCUAAUGUUCGGGGUAUAAAAUCUUUGAGAUUUUGUAUGUGUGUAUGUGCUUUAAAAAAUUGUACAUCAUGCUCAACCCCCCUGCCUAGAGCAUCUUACUUUUCUAGAAUGACUUAUUUGAAUCCCAAACUGAUCAUCUACCAGGCAGGGGGCUUUGCUUAACUCCUCUGAGACUUUCAUUCUUCUCUAAAAUGAGUAUAACAUUACCUAUGGCUUACCAUGGCUGCAGGAAAUAAAGUGAGAAAACUUAUGUAAAGCACUAGAACAAGUUCAAUUAUUCAAAUGGGAGUUAUUCAAUAAAUGUAAUUUAUCUUCUCUUUUCCUUCUUUUUCCCUCUAUCAAAAUAUAUUUCCAGGAAGAAACUGAUGCCAGUCAUUUAUGCAUAAGUGAGACUGUCAUUUUUUUCAUUUCUGAAUAGAAUAGUCUGUAGAAGUAGACUUCUGAUAAUAGUAAUAAUAAUAGAGUUAUGCUUACUGUGUACUUUACUAUGAAACUUACUGGUUAGGUGGCUGAUGCUCUUUAUAGAAAUGUAAUAUCAGAGAAUUCACUCCAUGAAGGCAGUUUUCUACCUUGCAUGCAAGGAAGACCUACCCUAGUCACACUCAGUGAUGUGCUUGUGUGCAGGCAGUGUUAAUAGCCAUCUCAGGGCGACCUAUGUUCAGAGUGCUGUCCCAGUGGAUUCAGGGUGAGAGUAAUCAUGAAAGUCAGGAAAGACAAAAUGCAGGUUCUGGGAAAUAAAUUAGGCUGGACUUCUAUGUAAAUUGUUACAAAGAAGCAACAAUAAUUAGGAGAAUGGAAAAUAUGACCGUCAGCCUUUUGGUGCCCUGGUAGGUAUACAACAACAUAGCCUACUCCAGGCUGGAGGAUGUGAGAAAAUCUGAGAGAGGCUUGAACUGUCUUUUGAAAUAUUUCUCAGAAUUCCUUUUGUGGCUCAGCAGUAAUGAAAUUGGCUGGUAUCCACAAGGACUUGGGUUCAAUCCCUGGUCUUCCUCAGUGGGUUAAGGAGCCUGAGUUGCUGUGGCUGUGGUCUAGACUGGCAGCUAUAGCUCUGAUUUGACCCAUAGCCUGGGAACUUCCAUAUCCUGUAGGUUGGCCCUAAAAAGGCAAAAAAAAAAAAAAAAAAAAAAAAA